rnacentral:misc_RNA from 1 species
GAAAUGCGAUAAGUAAUGUGAAUUGCAGAAUUCAGUGAAUCAUCGAAUCAUUGAACGCACCUUGCGCUCCUUGGUAUUCCUUGGAGCAUGCCUGUUUGAGUAUCAUGAAAUCUUCAAAGUAAAUCUUUUGUUAACUCAAUUGGUUUCUACUUUGGUAUUGGAGGUCUUUGCAGCUUCACACCUGCUCCUCUUUGUUCAUUAGCUGGAUCUCAGUGUUAUGCUUGGUUCCACUCGGCGUGAUAAAUUAUCUAUCGCUGAGGACACUGUAAAAGGUGGCCAAGGUAAAUGCAGAUGAACCGCUUCUAAUAGUCCAUUGACUUGGACAAUACUUUUAUGAUCUGAUCUCAAAUCAGGUAGGACUACCCGCUGAACUUAAGC